CAGAACAUUGUAUGUGUCCAUGAUACUAGUUUGAGGAGUAUAAUUUGAGUUUAAAGGCUUUUGUGAUGGACUUGCAUAUAUUUUAUUUCAUUUUUCUGUAUUUAUCCGGAAUAUCAGCAUCCAUUGUAUUAAAGCAAACCGAUUACGCAAUCGCACAAGUUGGAAAGUCCGUUCAGUUAAGCUGUGAAGUCGUUGGGUAUAAUAUUAAUGAUCACCACAUGUACUGGUUCAGGUUGGAAACUGAUGGAAAAUUUGUUUGGAUCUCAGCAUUUAGAACUGGACAAACAACAUAUAUUGCUGAUAGUUUUAAAGACCGAGUCACUCCAUCUACAAGUGGAUCCACUUCCCUGCUGAAGAUUGACAGACUGACUGAGGCAGACAGUGCCAGAUACUACUGUUCUCCCAACAGAGCACAGUGAGGAAGUCCUAUCUAAGGCC